rnacentral:tRNA from 1 species
GGUGAAAUGGCUGAAAUUUAGGCGAUAGAUUGUAAAUCUAUUUAUGGUUAUAAAACCUUUCAUCA